GGAUUGUAGCUCAGUGGUAGAGCGCUUGUCUAGCAUGUGUGAGGCACUGGGUUCAAUCCUCAGCACCA
rnacentral:tRNA from 1 species